rnacentral:lncRNA from 1 species
GCUCAGUGAAGAUGAUAGCCUCCAUCUCUUGCUCACCUUCAAGCCUUGACCGCUUCAUCUCCUGGGGCUCCACCGAUCCAGACGACCCCCCAAGUGAUCAUGUGAAUCUCCCCACAGAUGGGUCGCUCCUCUUCCGCUGUCUGUCCUCCCAUCUACCAUCCUGCCUGUUGCACUGGUGCCAACUGUGGCUGAGGCAGAGGGAGCGGUUGUUGAGGUAAAAGAGGUGGCUGUUAAACUCUCGAAGGUCGAUGUUGAGGAGCUGUCCUCCGAAUAAAGUGAUUCAGCCUCCUCUGUUUG